rnacentral:piRNA from 1 species
CUAAUGUCUUGCCAAGUUUAA